rnacentral:rRNA from 1 species
UACGGAGGGUGCAAGCGUUAUCCGGAUUCACUGGGUUUAAAGGGUGCGUAGGUGGAUCGGUAAGUCCGUGGUGAAAUCCCCGAGCUUAACUCGGGAACUGCCGUGGACACUAUCGAUCUUGAAUACUGUGGAGGUAAGCGGAAUAUGUCAUGUAGCGGUGAAAUGCUUAGAUAUGACAUAGAACACCGAUAGCGAAGGCAGCUUGCUACACAGUCAUUGACACUGAGGCACGAAAGCGUGGGGAGCAAACAGG